UUUAACGAGAGUUUGAUCCUGGCUCAGGAUGAACGCUGGCGGCGUGCUUAACACAUGCAAGUCGAACGAAGCACUUGAAUGGAAUUCUUCGGAAGGAAGCUCAAGUGACUGAGUGGCGGACGGGUGAGUAACGCGUGGGUAACCUGCCUCAUACAGGGGGAUAACAGUUAGAAAUGACUGCUAAUACCGCAUAAGCACACGUGAUCGCAUGAUCGAGUGUGAAAAA
rnacentral:ncRNA from 1 species